GAGAAACCUAAAAGAUCGAAUGAGGAGAUUCAUCGUCAACUCAUUUUGUAUAUAUACAAGUUAUGAUAUAUAAAUUACUCUUGAGUAUUUUUUUUGUAUACAUACUAGUAUAUUUAUUUGCAAGAUGUUGUCGGCGUGCACUUCUCCUCUAGUAGGACAUCGUGACCCGUUUGGUGUCGGUCUACGACCAAAGAUGUUAGACUUUAAUAUUAUUUAUAUAAUAUUAAAGACUCUUUGUGUUAUUCUGAUCGUCUGCCUAGCGGUAUUCGUACGGUAUUUAGCCGCAUUAUAAUAUUAUGCGUUCAUAUCCGUCACAAGCUAAACUAAUUUUUAGUAAUUAUGGAUUUAAUGCCAUCACUAAAAUUAGUCAGUUGUUAGUUG
rnacentral:rRNA from 1 species